AUUGAAAGUGUAAUAUACACCCAUUAUAUUAUCAUCAUGACUUCUGUGUAAAGAUUCCCUAACUCUCAUGACUCAGAUGGCCCAAUAACAAUAGCACAGGGACCUCUCGAAAGCAGUUGCUCGAAGAGAAGCACUCGGAAUUUGUACGGGAAGCACUGCCGGAGCUCCUUAGCCUCCUAGCUGGGCAUUUGCAAGUGGAAGACACAGAGAAAAAAAAGAAAACGGGUGACAAGCGCACAGCAAGAGAACUCCUAGGUUUCAUGAAGUCCGCAGGUGUGCUGUCCGUUGACGUGGUCAAGUCUCUGUCAUUCAUACUGGGAGCAUCUGUGCAGGGG
rnacentral:lncRNA from 1 species